GGAAAGCAAAUGUACUGGUAGAGACUUUCCUUCUAACUUUUUCUCUCUUCCUUAACGUUCAAGAGUGGGCUUGCCCAUGUCACCUGUUUGUCUCUCUGUAUUCCACAAUGAGGACAAAAUGUUCCUUUACCCGCAAAAGGAUGGCGAGAGACUGCACUGAAGUGUCUGUGAGGCUGAGUUCUGAAGAAAAAAAAAAUCAUAAACACAAAUAUGCUGCAAUAUGGGAGUGCUUGAUUCAAGGGCCCAGAAAUGGUCACUGCAUUCCUCGAGGAAGACAAAAUCAGGAGACAAGCUACACUUGGCCCUAAUCUGUUCAGAAGUUUAAGGUGUUAUAUGUGACUUAUGAAUGAAGUAUGAUGGAAGAAAGA